AAAAAUUAAUAGUUAUGAUCUUUAAAUUUAAAAAAUUUGGCGGUAUUUUAUCUUAUUAGAGGAACCUGUUUUUUAAUUGAUAAUCCACGAUAAUUUUACUUAUUUUAAUUAAUUCAUAUAUCGCUGUCAUGAAUAUAUUAAAAAGUUUAUUUUCAUUUUUAUAAUUUAUGUUAAGUCAAGAUGUGGUUUGUAAAGCAAAAUGGGUUACAUUGAAUUUUUGGAGAAACUGGAUUUAAUAGUAAAUUUAUUUAAUUUAAUGAAGAAAGAUCUAAAAUAUG
rnacentral:rRNA from 1 species